rnacentral:pre_miRNA from 14 species
UUUUGUGAUGACUGAAAGAUCCCAUGCAGAGAGACCCUUACUCAAGUCUUGGGAAAUUGCGGACCCCAGACACAGAGAGACCA